rnacentral:antisense_RNA from 1 species
GGGUGCCUGAUGCUUUCUGAGCUCAGGCAGGUGUGGUGGGUCAGAAAGCAAAAGCCCCGGAGAUGUUUCCAUCAACCGGGGCUACCACUCCAAACCUGAACAAUUUGGAUGGUAGCCUCUUCUUAGCAAGGAGGCAAUGACAUGCUUA